UAACCUACCUCUGACUGGAGCAUAGCCCGAAGAAAUUCGGAUUAAUACUCCAUAAUACUGCGAGAAGGCAUCUUUUUUCAGUUAAAGCUUCGGCGGUCAGAGAUGGGCAUGCGUAACAUUAGCUGGUUGGUGAGGUAACAGCUCACCAAGGCUACGAUGUUUAGGGGGUCUGAGAGGAUGGUCCCCCACACUGGUACUGAGACACGGACCAGACUCCUACGGGAGGCAGCAGUGAGGAAUAUUGGUCAAUGGGCGAAAGCCUGAACCAGCCAUGCCGCGUGAAGGAUGACGGCCCUAUGGGUUGUAAACUUCUUUUAUACGGGAAGAAACCCCUCUACGUGUAGGGGGCUGACGGUACCGUACGAAUAAGCAUCGGCUAACUCCGUGCCAGCAGCCGCGGUAAUACGGAGGAUGCAAGCGUUAUCCGGAUUUAUUGGGUUUAAAGGGUGCGUAGGCGGAAAAUUAAGUCGGUGGUGAAAUCCUGCAGCUUAACUGUAGAAUUGUCAUUGAUACUGGUUUUCUUGAAUACAGUUGAGGUAGGCGGAAUGAGUAAUGUAGCGGUGAAAUGCUUAGAUAUUACUCAGAACACCAAUUGCGAAGGCAGCUUACUAAACUGUGAUUGACGCUGAGGCACGAAAGCGUGGGGAGCGAACAGGAUUAGAUACCCUGGUAGUCCACGCCGUAAACGAUGAUCACUCGUUGUUGGCAAUACACCGUCAGCGACUGAGCGAAAGUAUUAAGUGAUCCACCUGGGGAGUACGAUUGCAAGAUUGAAACUCAAAGGAAUUGACGGGGGCCCGCACAAGCGGAGGAACAUGUGGUUUAAUUCGAUGAUACGCGAGGAACCUUACCUGGGCUUAAAUGCAUAACGACGGAUCGGGAAACUGGUCUUUCUUCGGACGGAAUGCAAGGUGCUGCAUGGCUGUCGUCAGCUCGUGCCGUGAGGUGUCGGGUUAAGUCCCAUAACGAGCGCAACCCUCAUCAUUAGUUGCCAGCGGGUAAUGCCGGGGACUCUAAUGAAACUGCCGGUGUAAACCGAGAGGAAGGCGAGGAUGACGUCAAGUCAGCACGGCCCUUAUGUCCAGGGCUACACACGUGUUACAAUGGUCAGUACAAAGGGCAGCUACCAGGCAACUGGAUGCUAAUCUCAAAAGCUGGUCACAGUUCGGAUCGGAGUCUGCAACUCGACUUCGUGAAGUUGGAUUCGCUAGUAAUCGCGCAUCAGCCAUGGCGCGGUGAUACGUUCCCGGGCCUUGUACACACCGCCCGUCAAGCCAUG
rnacentral:rRNA from 1 species